CAGAGGAAUAGAGGGGGAGGGAAGUGGAAUUUUUUUUUGGGGGGGGGCAAUGAUUAGAUUAAAAAGGAAACUGGAAAUAAAGAUGUGAGCGACAUUGAAGAGGACAGAGGACAAUGUAAAGGCUGCGCGGACUCCGUGACGGGAUUGGUCGAAGCAGAGAGGAGGAGCCUCCAACUCCACGGCCGGCUUCUCCUAUUGCUGUGUCGUAACAAAGACUGCCAACAUAUGGUGACUGGGGGGACAAUACACCAUGAUUUCUUUGUAUAUGGAAACCAACAUGGCUGCAACUGAAACCUGGCUCUGUGAGCAGUCCAUGAUCAGUAAGUGAAAUACUCGGGAUGGCAGCAUCCACCUCGGGCCAGAACCACACCUUGCCCUAAGUGACUCUCACUUGCGUGACGUCUUGCGCAUCAAAACCACUGUUUUUGAGCCAGACCUGGACUACAUACUGCAGUCGAAAUCUCAGUAUCACCCUUCAAAUUAGUGCAGGCAAGAUAUGUGUUUAGUCCUCUGAUGUGAAUAAAUUCUAAA